rnacentral:rRNA from 1 species
GACGAACGCUGGCGGCGUGCUUAACACAUGCAAGUCGAACGGAAAGGCCCUGCUUUUGUGGGGUGCUCGAGUGGCGAACGGGUGAGUAACACGUGAGUAACCUGCCCUUGACUUUGGGAUAACUUCAGGAAACUGGGGCUAAUACCGGAUAGGAGCUCCUGCUGCAUGGUGGGGGUUGGAAAGUUUCGGCGGUUGGGGAUGGACUCGCGGCUUAUCAGCUUGUUGGUGGGGUAGUGGCUUACCAAGGCUUUGACGGGUAGCCGGCCUGAGAGGGUGACCGGCCACAUUGGGACUGAGAUACGGCCCAGAGUGCUACGGGAGGCAGCAGUGGGGAAUAUUGCACAAUGGGCGGAAGCCUGAUGCAGCAACGCCGCGUGCGGGAUGACGGCCUUCGGGUUGUAAACCGCUUUCGCCUGUGACGAAGCGUGAGUGACGGUAAUGUGUAAAGAAGCACCGGCUAACUACGUG